AUUGAACGCUGGCGGCAGGCCUAACACAUGCAAGUCGAGCGAGCGGCGGACGGGUGAGUAAUGUCUGUGGAACUGCCUGAUGGGGGGGGAUAACUACUGGAGACGGUAGCUAAUACCGCAUACCAUCAGAUGUGCCCAGAUGGGAUUAGCUAGUAGGUGGGGUAACGGCUCACCUAGGCGACGAUCCCUAGCUGGUCUGAGAGGAUGACCAGCCACACUGGAACUGAGACACGGUCCAGACUCCUACGGGAGGCAGCAGUGGGGAAUAGUGCACAAUGGGCGAAAGCCUGAUGCAGCCAUGCCGCGUGUGUGAAGAAGGCCUUCGGGUUGUAAAGCACUUUCAGCGGGGAGGCGUUACCCGCAGAAGAAGCACCGGCUAACUCCGUGCCAGCAGCCGCGGUAAUUC
rnacentral:rRNA from 1 species